UUUUUAAAUGGCUGCAGUAUUUUAACUGUMCUAAGGYAGCAYAAUCAAUUGUUUUUUAAAUGGAAACUAGAAUGAAAGGGGUAAUGAAAUAUAAUCUUUMUUUAAUUUAUGAUUUGAAUUUAAUUUUUUAGUUAAAAAGCUUAAAUAAUUUUAUAAGACGAGAAGACCCUAUMGAAUUUUAUAUAAUAAUUUAUUUAAAUUUUAUAUUGUUAAUAUAAUUAUAUAUUUAUUUGGGAGGAAUUUUAAAUUGAAAACUUUAAUUUAUUUAAAACAUAAAUAAAUGAUUUAAAAAGAUUUUUUUUGAAAUGAAAGAUUAAAUUACCUUAGGGAUAACAGUGUAAUAUUUUUUUAAAGUUCUUAUUGAAAAAAG
rnacentral:rRNA from 1 species